rnacentral:rRNA from 1 species
UGGGAUUAGCUUGUUGGUGAGGUAACGGCUCACCAAGGCGACGAUCCCUAGCUGGUCUGAGAGGAUGACCAGCCACACUGGAACUGAGACACGGUCCAGACUCCUACGGGAGGCAGCAGUGGGGAAUAUUGCACAAUGGGCGCAAGCCUGAUGCAGCCAUGCCGCGUGUAUGAAGAAGGCCUUCGGGUUGUAAAGUACUUUCAGCGGGGAGGAAGGUGUUGUGGUUAAUAACCACAGCAAUUGACGUUACCCGCAGAAGAAGCACCGGCUAACUCCGUGCCAGCAGCCGCGGUAAUACGGAGGGUGCAAGCGUUAAUCGGAAUUACUGGGCGUAAAGCGCACGCAGGCGGUCUGUCAAGUCGGAUGUGAAAUCCCCGGGCUCAACCUGGGAACUGCAUUCGAAACUGGCAGGCUUGAGUCUUGUAGAGGGGGGUAGAAUUCCAGGUGUAGCGGUGAAAUGCGUAGAGAUCUGGAGGAAUACCGGUGGCGAAGGCGGCCCCCUGGACAAAGACUGACGCUCAGGUGCGAAAGCGUGGGGAGCAAACAGGAUUAGAUACCCUGGUAGUCCACGCCGUAAACGAUGUCUACUUGGAGGUUGUGCCCUUGAGGCGUGGCUUCCGGAGCUAACGCGUUAAGUAGACCGCCUGGGGAGUACGGCCGCAAGGUUAAAACUCAAAUGAAUUGACGGGGGCCCGCACAAGCGGUGGAGCAUGUGGUUUAAUUCGAUGCAACGCGAAGAACCUUACCUGGUCUUGACAUCCACAGAACUUUCCAGAGAUGGAUUGGUGCCUUCGGGAACUGUGAGACAGGUGCUGCAUGGCUGUCGUCAGCUCGUGUUGUGAAAUGUUGGGUUAAGUCCCGCAACGAGCGCAACCCUUAUCCUUUGUUGCCAGCGAUUAGG